UACGGGGGGAGCAAGCGUUGUUCGGAUUUACUGGGCGUAAAGGGCGCGUAGGCGGUCAGCACAAGUCAGUUGUGAAAUCUCCGGGCUUAACCCGGAAAGGUCAACUGAUACUGUGCGACUAGAGUGCGGAAGGGGCAACUGGAAUUCUCGGUGUAGCGGUGAAAUGCGUAGAUAUCGAGAGGAAUACCGGUGGCGAAGGCGGCAUCCUGGACCGGCAUUGACGCUGAGGAGCGAAAGCCAGGGGAGCAAACGGG
rnacentral:rRNA from 1 species